ensembl:lncRNA
AUGACCCAGCAGUUUUUCAGCGGGGUCCAUCUGUCCGGCUGUAAACCCUUCCUCCUCCUCCUCCUCCUGCCGUGGUUGGAUGCUGGUGACUUCAGUUUGUUUUGGUGGAUCACGGCAGCCAUGCUUAAUGGAAAUGAACGUUUCGGACCUGCUGCCUCUUUUGUUGCCGUCCUGUUGGCCAUGAAAUCAGCUUUUUAUGGAAGCACAAAGGCCGCGUGCCAAGCCGACCUGCUGUAUUCAAAUGGGACCGCCAGCAAUUAUCAGCAGAUUUCAGCUGGGAUCCGUCCUGCAGGCUCUGAUUUUAGCACCUCCGCAUUCUUACAGUCGCCUGGUUCCUCCGAGUCUUCUCAACAAGCACAGAAAUCGUCUCUGAGUACAGUUAAUUUUCUUAUUAGCACAGAGAUUACAUAUAAACCACAAUCCAAAGACUUAGAUGAGUGAAAAUUUCCAAUUAGGAGUUUUAAACAAAAAUAAAACAUGCAUAAACCAAACAAUCAUUAGAAAAAUAAAGUGUUUUUUUUUAAAUCAGUGUUCACCUCCUCAGGAAAGUCAUCCGUCAUUUAGGAUCGAUGAUUCAGGACCCAAAGAUGUAGAUCAGAAAAGAUUUACUGGGUUCAUAAAGGCUUAUUUUAAAAAAUAACAAAUAUAUAUUUUCUGCCUAAAUAAUAAAUUUAGUGACCAAAUUCUACAUUUUAAGUUAUUUUCCUCCAUUACAGCAGCACACACACACACACACACACACACACACACACACACACACACACACACACACACACACACACACACACACACACACUUUCUGCUCGGUGUGUUGACAUGGGUGAACGUGACCACCGGCUGCAGCAGCUCAUGUUUAUUCAGAUCAAUAAAUGUGAUCAGCUUCACUGUGAGCUCAGUUUUCCUCCCAGACAUUUGUGUGUGUGUGUGUGUGUGUGUGUGUGUGUGUGUGUGUGUGUGUGUGUGUGUGUGUGUGUGUGUGUGUGUGUGUAUGUGUGUGUAGGAAAUUGAACACACCACUGAAACCCACUCAGACGAACCAGAGCAGCUGGAUGAAGGGUUAAUUAUCAUCCCGUCGAGGCUGAAGAGGAGAAAUAUUUUAUCUGCCGAUUCAGGAACUCAAAUUAAAACUUAAAGAAAUAAUUUAUUCAUGUUUAUAAAUUUCAUGAUUUUCAUGUUUUUCAUAUUUAAAACAUCAAGAGUUUACACAUUAACAAUAAUAAAGGCUGACAGAAGUUUAAUAUGAACACAAUCAUUUUUAUGUUCGGUUAUAAUAAUAAAAACAUAAUUUGUUUGUAAAAUGAUUUAUUGAUUAAAUACAUGAAAAACUGAACAGAAAGUUUUAGAAUCAGAUUAAAUCUGAAGUUUUUACCUCCAGAACAGAAGAGCCGCUGCUCCUCUUCAUCCUUCCUGUGAUUAUUUAAUGUCCUCCGGCGAGUUGCUCAGUUAAUCACAAUAUUUGAUUUAUUGAUUUUCUUCAGUCUGCAGAUCAAAGAGACGAAGAUGAAGAGCAGCAACUCAAAUAUUUAAGAGCAGAGAUUUCUUCAAACACUGAAGUUUACAGACUCUUUCAUUCAUUUCUUAACUUCUGUUAUUAUUAUUAUUAUCAUGACAAUUGUUAUUAUUAUUAUUAUUAUUGUUAUUAUUAUUAUUUAUUAUUAUUAUUAUUAUUACCGCUGUUGUUGUUAAAUACUUCUAUUUUAAUGACAUCACUGAUAUAAAAUACUUUUAUUAAUUUAAAAAUCAUCUAUUUAUGUAUUUUUGAUGGCUUAUCUUAUUUUCACAGGAAAAAAGAAAAAUAAAUUCCUUGAAAAUGUUUGUAUUUAUAUUAUAAAACAGAUUUAUGUCAUUUAAAGGUGUUUUUAUGACUGAACAAAAUAGUUUCUGUAUUUUUUGUCAUAAAAAUUUAUUAAUAGUUGAAGAAAAUUCAACCUAAAAUCAGAUGAAUGUAUUUUUUCUUUCUUUUAUAUUUGCUAUAAUCACUUUUAGCCUUUCAUAAAUAAUCCCCACCCAAAAAAGACAAAUUAAAUCUGAUUUCUUUAUAUUCUCAUCAGCAGUUUUUAAUGACUAAAUAUUUUGUUUCCUGUUUUGCUUCUUUAAAAAAAAUUCAAUCUACUUUUAAAAAGGUUUUCAUCAUCUGAAAACAACAAACCUGACAUUUACAGAUGGACUCAGAAAACCUAAAACAGAAGAAGAGUCCAGCAGCAGAUGGUCUGGGACCCCCNNNNNNNNNNNNNNNNNNNNNNNNNNNCACACACACACACACACACACACACGCGCACACUCCCCCCCCCGCACACACACACACACACACACACACACACACACACACACACACACACACACACACACACACACACACACACACUACCACCAGUGUUUGAAACCUUUUCUGCAAAAUAGAUUAUUUUUAACGUUUCCAUACUUUUUAACUUUAUUAAUGAAAACAUAAACAAACAACACAUUGUUUAUUUAGAUCUUUCUGUAAUUUAUGUGCUUGUCAUGUUUGAAAUUUUUUUAAAAACACAAUUUAAAAAUAUGAUCACGUGUUUUUUAUAGUGUCAGAUUUUCCUCUUCUGCAGCAACUUUAUAAUCUGUGAAAUUUAAUAAUCUUUUAAAUCAAAACCUGAAAUGACUUCUGCAGCAAUUAGAUUUGUAACAGAAAUUUAUUCAUAAAGUAAAACUGCUUCUGGACUUUUCCAAACUCAGCAGUCCUUUGGGCUCUAAAAGCUCGUUUUAAAUCCAGAUGUUGACUUCUGCACGUCCGUCUUUUGUUGUCAGCAGCAGAAGCAGCAGCAGGGCCGAAGGGGUCAAGGGUCAGAUGUGAGUCGACCCCAGCGCACGCCAUCGACCCGUCUGAUUUACAUAAACGCUGCCUGACCUACAUUCAGACUCUGUUUCUGCUCAUUAAAAUGUCUCAAAGUCAUAAAGACACAAUAAAAAUCUAAAAUUGGGGGAUUUGUUAGUUUUAACUUUGGUUUUGUUGAACCUUUAUAAUUUGGUGAAUUUUCACUGAGAUUAUUGUUUGUUUUAGUUUAUAGAAACAAUCAGAAUUCACCAGGAGCAAAAAGAAGAUACACAUUUGUUCAAAAGCUUUAAUUUCAAUAAAAUGUAUAUUUUUUUGUUGAAAUCCAUCAAAUCUUUAUUUUUUGUUCUAAAUCAUGAAAAAAACAAUUUUGUGAAAAUUUGAUGAUCAAUAAAACAUGUUUUAAAGGGUUUUCUGGCUUCUCGUGACUUGUUCACACAAAGCCUAACCUUUGACCUAUGAAGUUCACCUCUCACCGUUGACCUUCAGGUCACCGCUGCCUCUUAUGAUGUUUGUCUUUCAGUUAAAAAUGUAAGCAGUUUGAGAGAAAAACAGUGAAACAUUCAUGUUUUUUUAUUUAUUUGUUAUAAGCUGACCUCACAUUUAGUUUUUACAGUUCACGUGCAAAACACAAAAAUCUGUUUUUAAUACAAUUUCUAAAAGAAAUCUGUAAAAUAUCCUUUUUUAUAUUUUUAUCACCACAAUUUGUUCACUUUUGAGUUUUCCUUUGUCAAAAUACAGGGAAUAACUCAGAGUUUUGUAUUUAAUAAAAAUAACUUAACUUUUGUAUUUAAAAAAAUUUACUCAGGAAAAAAUCAGCUGACUAAGUGAAUUAAAGACCUGGUGAAAGUCCAGCAGGUCUGGUCAAACAGAACUGUUUAGGACGAGUUGUUUCCUGUACCCAUGGAGAUGAGACUGAAAGGACUUUAGACAACGUGGAGACAUGUGGAGUCACAUGGCUGUCUGCCAUCAGGGCGAUUAAAGGUCAGAACGGGUCAGAACCUGGUGUAACGUGGGUGACUUGCAGACAGCUGAUAAUCUAUGACCUCUGACCUCCAUAACUAUUGAUGCUUUAUUAGAAUGUGUCUCAAAUCUUUACAAAACUGCUGAUCGCACGUCUCAUUUACACAGAAACAGGUGAGUCACAGAGAGAUAAGAGGUGGACCAUAACGUUUUUCUCAUAUCAACAAAAUAUCACUGUUGAAACUCUCAGAACAUUUUCAAUUGUUCAACAUCGAGACAGCAGUGAGCUGUUAAGACAGCAGCGAGGUGUGGGACAGCAGCGAGCUGUGAGACAGCACUGAGGUGUGAGACAGCAGAAAGCUGUUAGACAGCAGUGAGGUGUGAGACAGCAGUGAGGUGUGAGACAGCAGUGAGGUGUUAGACAGCAGUGAGGUGUGAGACAGCAGUGAGGUGUUAGACA